AUUGAACGCUGGCGGCAUGCUUUACACAUGCAAGUCGAACGGUAACAGGGUGCUUGCACCGCUGACGAGUGGCGAACGGGUGAGUAAUGCGUCGGAACGUGCCGAGUAAUGGGGGAUAACGCAUCGAAAGGUGUGCUAAUACCGCAUACGCUCUGAGGAGGAAAGCUGGGGAUCGAAAGACCUGGCGUUAUUCGAGCGGCCGACGUCUGAUUAGCUAGUUGGUGAGGUAAAGGCUCACCAAGGCGACGAUCAGUAGCGGGUCUGAGAGGAUGGCCAGCCACACUGGAACUGAGACACGGUCCAGACUCCUACGGGAGGCAGCAGUGGGGAAUAUUGGACAAUGGGGGCAACCCUGAUCCAGCCAUGCCGCGUGUGUGAAGAAGGCCUCGGUGUAAGACACUUAAGUACGAGAGGAAGGUUUUAGGUUUAAGUUACUAC
rnacentral:rRNA from 1 species